GUCGAUCCCAGUGGAGGAUAUUGUCAGUUGGGAAGUUUGAUGCGGCUUUUCUGUUAAACUAUAACGCAGGUGUCCUACGAUGAGCGCAAUGAGAAUUGGAUUCUGUCUGUGGGUUGGAAGG
rnacentral:rRNA from 18 species